UACGGAGGGUGCGAGCGUUGUCCGGAAUCACUGGGCGUAAAGGGCGCGUAGGUGGCAGGCUCCAAGCGUGCGGUGAAAGCCCGGGGCUCAACUCCGGGUCGGCCGUGCGAACUGGCCUGCUCGAGCACGGUAGAGGCAGGUGGAAUUCCGGGUGUAGCGGUGGAAUGCGUAGAGAUCCGGAAGAACACCGGUGGCGAAGGCGGCCUGCUGGGCCGUGGCUGACACUGAGGCGCGACAGCGUGGGGAGCAAACAGGAUUAGAAACCCCCGUAGUCC
rnacentral:rRNA from 1 species